UACAGCCAUAUCACAUUAAAAUACAAGCCCCCAUAUGAUUACCAAAGUUAAGCAACAUUGAGCCUGGACAGUACCUAGAUGGGUGACUGCUUGGGAAUACCAGGUGC